GUGAGCUUCUGGCGCGCCUGGGAGUUUGAAGAUCUGUCUAAGCAAAAUAUCGAUACAACAGGCACUGGGAAGAACCGCCGCCUUUUAGCGGGAGGGAGGGAGAGAGAGAGAGAGAAAGAGAGAGCGCGCGAGCGAGAGAGAGAGGGAGAGGAGAGAAAGAGAGAGGGAAGGAGAGAGAGCGAGAGAGAAGGGAAGGGAGGGAGGAAAGAGAGAGAGGGAAAGAGAAGCUACAAUCCGAAUAGUGACAGUAUAAGUCACCAGCAAUGUGAAGAAAAUCGGAUACUUAAAGCGCCCAUGAAGAUUAAUGUCUGGCAAUAAUCUUUGCAAUUAGGAGUGACCAUCAUAAAUCAUUAGUUCGCUGCUUUCACGGAUGGUGGCAGCAAUGUCCAUCUCAAAGUACCCUGAGCUGAGGAAGCUGUUUGAAGUCCACCACAUGUACAAUGGCCUCGAGUGAUACACGAGCCAGACUGGGUAUGACCAACCCAAUUUGCCAUCAGAUUGAACCACAAUCUGGAAAUGUACAUCAGUUCAUAGUUCGUUGAGCGAUUUUCCAAAGGGGACAGUGAUGACUGAAGAAAACCACAGAACUGUUUGGCUAUAAGAUGAAUAGUUAUGUUUUACUGAAGAAAUGAUGCUGCAUAAAUGCAAGUUGUGGUUGAAACACUACUUCCUCAACCCUAUUUACACUUUAAAGGACACUGAAAAUAAGGUGCUAUUUUGUAUGUUUAUUUGUUUUGAUGAGAUAUGACAGCUAAAUGUAGUAACAUUUUUAAAAUGUCUGUAAUAUUUUGGAUCUCUUGGAUACCUGUAUUUUUCUGAUCCUUAUUCAUACUCUGUAAAACACCUAAAAUAAUACUCAAAAAUUAUCCUUGAACUUCCCCUUUUGCUUUAGUUGGCUGUUCCGCUGGCUAAUUACACUCAACUAUGAGAAAUCUUUAAUCUGACAUCCAGUAAUCGAAAAGGAAAAGUCCAUGGCACCAAGAUCAUUGUGGGCAGCGUUCUUCAAAAUCACUGCUAAGUGCCAUCAUUUCCUUUUUGGCUCCAAGUUCCAGGCCACUAUGUUUAAGUAACUGAUGAAUUAAAUGUAAAAUAAACUCAAAAGGAUUAGACUAUUCUUUAUUCACUCCAUUCUUCACUUAGUUUAUCUGGAGAUCGUCUAUAUGUCAUUAAACAAUACAGCCGUAAUAAGUAGUGAUUCAAAUUAUUGUAUAAUUUUAAUUAUUAAUGGCUUGACAGCUCUGUGAAAUUAUUUCCUAUUUUUCCAGAGAUCAGAAGGACAGAACUUGACCUGACCAGGAAAAUUUACUUUCUUAGUUGAAAAACUUCAUUCAUGUUGCUUUCUGUGUUUCCCUUUUCAGCCUUGUCUGCCAGGUUCAAUACAGCUCUCAAUAUUUUCCUGGCAAUGUUUACCAGGUUGGAAUUUGUGUAAAUCUCCCCCAACUUAAUAUACAAGUUGAUUAGCAACAUCUUUCCAAUGACCAGAGUCAUCUGAAGCUAUAUAAGAGAUUAGCUGGGCACUACUGUACCAAGUUGGGAGAGUUGGUUGAUGAUAACAUAAGGUUGAAUGGGCUUGGCCCUGAAAAUUCUCAAACUGAUUCCAAAGCCCCUGAAAUCUUCUGUUUAAAAGACGAGCUGAAAUAUUUGACUAUAGAAAUUAUACUGCAAAAAAUGCAAGUUGAGCUGAAACAGUACAGUACUUCGUCAAAUUUAGUAUCACCUAGCAGAAGAUUGAGAGGCACAACACAAAAUACUCCCGGGAGGGGGGAGAAGAUGGCGGCGCAACGACAGUGCGAGCAGCCACUUCGGUGAUGAAUAUCCAUUAUU